UACGUAGGGUGCAGGCGUUAAUCGGAAUUACUGGGCGUAAAGCGUGCGCAGGCGGUUUGUUAAGACAGAUGUGAAAUCCCCGGGCUUAACCUGGGAACUGCGUUUGUAACUGGCAAGCUAGAGUGUGGCAGAGGGGGGUGGAAUUCCAAGUGUAGCAGUGAAAUGCGUAGAUAUUUGGAGGAACACCAAUGGCGAAGGCAGCCCCCUGGGUUAACACUGACGCUCAUGCACGAAAGCGUGGGGAGCGAUCCGG
rnacentral:rRNA from 1 species